ACGCGGGGCAACCUGGCGACGAGUGGCGAACGGGUGAGUAAUAUAUCGGAACAUACCCUAGAGUGGGGGAUAACGUAGCGAAAGUUACGCUAAUACCGCAUACGAACUCAGGUUGAAAGUGGGGGAUCGCAAGACCUCAUGCUCAUGGAGUGGCCGAUAUCUGAUUAGCUAGUUGGUAGGGUAAAAGCCUACCAAGGCGACGAUCAGUAGCUGGUCUGAGAGGACGACCAGCCACACUGGAACUGAGACACGGUCCAGACUCCUACGGGAGGCAGCAGUGGGGAAUUUUGGACAAUGGGCGCAAGCCUGAUCCAGCAAUGCCGCGUGAGUGAAGAAGGCCUUCGGGUUGUAAAGCUCUUUUGUCAGGGAAGAAACGGUGGUUCCUAAUACGGACUACUAAUGACGGUACCUGAAGAAUAAGCACCGGCUAACUACGUGCCAGCAGCCGCGGUAAUACGUAGGGUGCAAGCGUUAAUCGGAAUUACUGGGCGUAAAGCGUGCGCAGGCGGUUAUAUAAGUCAGAUGUGAAAUCCCCGGGCUCAACCUGGGAACUGCAUUUGAGACUGUAUGGCUAGAGUGUGUCAGAGGGGGGUAGAAUUCCACGUGUAGCAGUGAAAUGCGUAGAUAUGUGGAGGAAUACCGAUGGCGAAGGCAGCCCCCUGGGAUAACACUGACGCUCAUGCACGAAAGCGUGGGGAGCAAACAGGAUUAGAUACCCUGGUAGUCCACGCCCUAAACGAUGUCUACUAGUUGUCGGGACUUAAUUGUCUUGGUAACGCAGCUAACGCGUGAAGUAGACCGCCUGGGGAGUACGGUCGCAAGAUUAAAACUCAAAGGAAUUGACGGGGACCCGCACAAGCGGUGGAUGAUGUGGAUUAAUUCGAUGCAACGCGAAAAACCUUACCUACCCUUGACAUGGAAGGAAUCCCGAAGAGAUUUGGGAGUGCUCGAAAGAGAACCUUUACACAGGUGCUGCAUGGCUGUCGUCAGCUCGUGUCGUGAGAUGUUGGGUUAAGUCCCGCAACGAGCGCAACCCUUGUCAUUAGUUGCUACGAAAGGGCACUCUAAUGAGACUGCCGGUGACAAACCGGAG
rnacentral:rRNA from 1 species